CUGAGCUCUGCUUGUUCCCUCUUCAGACUGGCAGGUGGUUAUAGAGGUGUCUGGGGUGUCAGCUCUGAAAUGCUAAAAAUAGUACCAGGCUUUCCAUCCUGGGAUGUCUCAUUAGUGUGCUUACAAAAGAGUCCCCCUGCAGUUUUUCAGCAAUUGGCUAACAAGCUCUAAUUUGAGCGUUUGGGCUGGACCUCGGCUCAGCAGGAGCAGACGCGGAGCAGAUGCCUUCUCCGAGCUGCCUGUUUGGGGAAGCUGGUCAGUUUCCACCCUAUCUCAGCCUCCCAGAACAGGGAAGCUGCAGGAAGGUUGAAAAAAGCACAGCAAAGCAGGAAAAGCCUCCUCGGUGGAGAGCAACGCCCAGGUGGGUGUGGAUGUGGAGAGCAAUGGGGCCCACCUGGGCGGGUGCAGGGGGGUGGGAGGAGGGGCUAGAGUGCUCGCUAAGUUAAGGUCAAGGUGUGGAGGAGAGGACUUGGAAACUUCCUGCAGCAGCUUCCUGGCCCGGUGAAAUGUUCUCGGCAGCAAGCAUGAAGCUCUGAUUUGUAAAAAAAUCAAUACGCCUUGCAUGUCAACUAUGCCUUCUCCAGUCCUGCACUUGUGAUGUCAGAGGUUGUCCUUCUGGGCCAUGGAGCAAACCUUUCAGGGUUGAGUUCUUCUAGGUCAUGUGGAGUGGGCCAGCUUUGAUGAACCUGUCUAAAAGGAAGGAAGAGAAAGAGCUCGGCUCCUUAGGGGAACAAGGAGGACCUUGGCAGCUGUCUCACGCCUCACCAGCUCUUCACCUCAGAUCUUGUCCUGACUUCCUGGUCCACUAACAGCCUCCUGGACAGAAGAGUCAGUUCACCAGCCCAGAAGAUGUUCUGAAAAUUGACAAUGAUCAUGAUAUACCCUGGGUCCAGAAUACUUCUCUGUGCGAUGGAUGUGUAUGAAGACAGACAGACCUGCCAGGCUCCAUCAGGGAAGCUCUGUGUCUCCUUCACAUUGGAGGGACAGAAUAUUAUCUGGAGAUGGAGAAUGCUUCUGAGAGUCUCUAGCACAGGGGUCCCCAACUCCACAGCCUCGGAUGGGUCCCAGUCCCAAUCUGUGGCCUGUUAGGAACCAGGCCACACAGCAGGAGGCAGAGAACAAAGACUGGAGGCUUCCUCCUGAGCACACUGGGAUGUGGCAUUACGUCGGGGCUGCCGAGUGUCCUUACCUACAGCUACCCAGAUGCAAAGGCAGGAAGCCACAGGCCAUUUGGAUUAUUGCACUUUUCAAAGUACACGGGAAGACUUGAGACCAUCCAGAGAAUGACACAAACAAAAGGGCAGAACGCCUGAUGGUAAAGAGGCCCCAUGAGGAAAGGCUAAAGAAUCAGGACUACUGAAGCUAAAGAGGAAAACUCAAAUAACGAAACAUGAUUGUUUUCAAAUACGUGACGGGUUUUUGGCUAGAAGAUAUCACUCAUACCUUUCCAGAACACAUGGAGGCCAGGGCAGACAGAAGUAAAGAUGGAAACCAGACCAGCAAGAUUAUUCUACAAGUAUCUGUUACCUUCUCUGUACAGUACACUCUGCUAGUCUCUGUGGAUACUGGGAAUGAAAGACGCUUCCCCGGUCUGAAGAGCAGGGUCUUCCUCUGUGAGUCUACGAAGGAGGCAGUGCAGGAGGUCACACAUCAUUACUGGCAGCAGAUGGAUCCCAUCUGUACUACAGAGGUCAAAGAUUUCAGUCAGUGAGUUCCAGACACCAUGGAUGAAAACAGGAGCCCAUCAGGGAAUCACGUAAUGAUCACAGCCAAAGGAGGCCCUGUCCUGGGAGCACUUUGCUGAUGCCUCAGCUUCUUGCUUCUAAGCUCCUGGCCCCAUUUGGUCUGAGGCGAAGAACAUUCAGAUUGGUGCCAUUUAUUUGCACCAACAUGCAGAAGAAGCGGCAGAAGUGUUGGGAGACCUCUGAAGAACCAUGAGUUGGGGAGAGACUAAGACCAUGCUUUCUACUCUGGAAACUUGGUUUGCAACCAGUAAAGUAAGGUCUCCCAACAAAUGGAAUAAUGUGCCGUGUGGCUAUGAUGGGUGCAGAUAAUCAAUGCUCAGCACACCUCCCCAGGGAAAGGUUUCCAGGAUGCCUUUUCAGGAAAGUAAUGAGCUGUUUGUUCCCCGGUUGUAGGAGAAGAGGGUGUUUGUUGAUCACACAUCUUUUUAAUUAGUUAUAGACACAGAUGGUUUUUUCUUUUUCAUGUUUUUCUGACAUACACUUACUUAUCUAAUGAAAGGUGCCCAGCAUAAAAAUGCAGGAGACAGACUUCCUCAGCCACCAGAGGCGUCUUCCCUGCUUCUGUAUGAUUGGUUUAAAGUGAACUGCCCUGAAAGAGACCGUCUCCAAAGCCCUGAAGGUCUUCCAUAGAUCAUUUCAGCCUAACGGGCCUUUUAUUUUCAUACAGAUACAACACCAAGCGAGGUGCCGUAGGUGGGCCAAACACCACAGGUGUCAAGGAAGCUGUGUGUUAGGUUGUGUUCAUCCCAUGCAUAUUAGGGCUUUGUGUAACUUCAUGCUUCUCUCCUUCAGCAGCAAAGUAAUUAUGCUUAGAAAAUCUGUUUGACCUUCUCUGAGGCCCAGCUUGUUUACCUAUAAAAGGACAUCACACUAUGUUCCUUCACAGAGAGAGAAAUCACGUGAGAGAGCCUUGUAACAAGCCAUCUCUUCUCCAUAUGAGGAGGGCCCGGGGUCCCAGAGCCGGUGUUGACCAGUCUCAUUUUAGAAUCUCUCCCAUUGCGUUUGACAUAGUGGAGGCUUGUGCUUAGCGAUGAGUCUCAUAUCUCCCACCUCCAGUGCAGGCCAACGCGUUUCAGAGACCAGGCACGGUGUGUUUUUAUAUUAAACCGCCCAUCUUAUUCCCAAAUGGCAGAGACUCAAAGGUGUGCUCUGGAUAGGUCAUUUUAGAAGGAGAACCAAGGACAUUUGUAAGAGCACUCUGUGUCCUCUGUGGCAGAGAGCAGCCACUGUGAGCCUGCCCUGAAGCCAGGGACAGGACUCCGGAGGGAGGAGGGAUUUCAAGGUGACUGUUUUUGGGCAUCUGUUCCUGGCGGGGGUGGCUCAGCUCUCGCUUCCUAUUUGCUGUGGCCUAGGAACCCUGAGUGUGCUUGGGUGACACACCUUCCUCAUCCCUCCCACGUCCUCAUCCUCAAAGCAUUUAGCUCCAGCCUGGGAACAGCUGGGAAGGGAUUCCUCUACAUGUCUAUAUUCAGGCACUGUGUUUACUCUAUGGAGACUUACUAAUCCAGCUUGUAAAUAAAUUACUGCAAAUUGAUCUGUCAGUGCAGGAAGUGAAAGGAAGUGUCUGGAGCAUUUCUCCACUCCCUGCUCAAGCCACAGCCGCUGGCAGCUCCGGGCGGGGGGAGAACAGCCAGCCACAUUCUCCCAUGUGGGGCCAGCUCCUACCUCCUCCCACCUUUUCCACUGCCACAGACAUGAAGGGAGAGACCUGACACCCCUACAUCUAGAUUUGGGGGAGGGAAAAGGAAGACACACUCGCUUGUUUUUAGUCCACAUGAAACUUGCCAUGAGCGAAGACUGAUAUUACCAUCCAAGAGGCACCUUCCUGGACGUUUCCAUAUCUUGGCCACGGUCCUCCAAGCCCCACCAGCAGAGGAGCGAGUGCCCUGGCAACGGCUGCUCAGGGACAGUGGCCUUCAUAGUCUCACCCCGCCAUGCCCUGCGGGAGGAGGGCUCCGAGGAAAAAGCCACAGGCAGGAAGGGGUAAAUAGGGGGACUGUGGCCCACAGAGAUUCCCGGAGGCUCUAAAGACUGUUGUGAGAGCUAAGGGAAGUCGGAAGCUAGGAGUAAAUUACGGGUGUUAUUUUCAGUUGCUGGGUUAAAUUAUUAGUGUCCUCAGGUUGGUUGUUAUCCUGGGCACUGAAGUUAUAGCCUUGGUCUUGCCAAGAUCUGUGUCUCUGCCCAGCCAACCGCGUCCAGGGGAAGGGAGUGUGGUACCCUGCAGUGCCCAGGACUCUGGAGACCCCAUAGGUUCCUUUGAAGCCAUGAGCAGCUGGGUUCUCCCCAUGCUGAUGCAGUGGGGACUGGCACCAGCGUGUGUCCGCCCCACCUUGCUCUGCCAUCCUCAUGAUUCGUAGUUUAUGACACAGAAGACAGGGCUGCUGGCAACUCGAGAUGAACCUAUUUCAACGUGUCCUGACCCUAGAGAAAGGCUCCAGCUCUUAAAGACAAUGAGACCCUGAAUUCUCUCUUUUCCUUAACCACUUUGUCCUGAUGUCCUAAACGGGCCACAUCUGGGUUCCUGGGAGCAGUGUCUCUCUCUCUCUCUCUGUCUCUCUCUCUCUGUUUUUGUGUCUGUUUCCGUCUCUGUUUUCUCUGUUUCUUUUUUCUCUGUCUCUGUUACCCUCUUUCUCCUUUUCUCUCUUUCUCUGUCUCUUCGUCUCUUUCUGUUUUUCUCAUUUUCUGCCUGUCUCUCUCUGUCUCGCAUCUCUGUACACCCUGCAUGGAGUUACCUCACUUUCCUCCUCCUGCAAUCCAGUCUCACACAUAUGUCUCUUUUUGGUUCCUCUUAAUAACUUAUUCAGCAACUGAAAAUAACACCCACAAUUUACUCUAAGCUUCCAGGCUUCGUUAGCUCCCAAGCAGAGGCCAGAGCCUUUGGGAACCCACGCCCUGCAACCCAGUUGGGUCUCAGAGUCUCAGGCUCUCCGUCCUGGGAGGUGGCCAUUUGGCCUGUGGUAUAUGUAGGUCUUUCUUUCUCUUUUUCUCCCUGCUGUUCCAUGGUACAUGACUUAACUGGGCAGCUUAGUAUCUCUCCAGUAUGUAGGCUGGGGAGAAGGGCACUCGAAGGUAAGUCCUUCUUGAUGCAGCUCUUACGCAUGUUUUUUGGUGCUGAGAAUUUUGAUAGUAAUAAUACAAAUAUGAUGCUGUAGGCUUGUGUGUAGAUUUCAAUUACCAAUUCAGAGAGUGUUUCCUUGUAUUCUGGAAAAUGAACAUCUGUUUACAGCUUCAAUUUUCUAACGAUUGGAAUGCCACAAACAAAGAAAACCCAGAGGAAAGCUGUUGAGGCUGAAAUGCUUCCUUCCUUUACAUAUUCCAUGACGUAUCAUGUGGGGUUAUGCAAAUAGUAAUUUCUCGUUAAAUAUUCUGGUCUCUUGGGAAUAGCUUCACACUGUCAAAAAUAUAUCUAAUCUCAGCUCCUACUGUAACAACAGUUAACUUUUUAAAAAAGAGUAGGUGGCUUUUUGUUGUUGUUGUUGUUAUUGUUAUUGUUUUGUUUGUUUGUUUUUUG